AUGGGCGCGACACGCGCGGACGCCGACGAGAAGGAGGAAGGCGUGAUGACGACGGACUUCUUCUGGUCGUACACGGACGAGCCGCACGCGUCGCGCCGCCGGGAGAUCCUGGCCAAGUACCCGCAGAUCAAGGUGCUCUUCGGCCCGGACCCUCUCGCCUUCAUCAAGAUAGCCGCAGUUGUUUCACUCCAGCUAUGGACCGCCACGCUGCUGCGCGACGCAGGCUGGUCCAAGAUACUGCCGGUCGCUUACUUUUUCGGUUCCUUUCUGAAUCACAACCUCUUCCUCGCGAUCCAUGAGCUCAGCCACAACCUCGCCUUCGCCACCCCAUCCCUGAACCGCUGGCUAGGCAUCUUCGCAAACCUCCCCAUCGGCGUCCCAAUGUCGGUGACAUUCCAGAAAUACCACCUGGAGCACCACCGGUUCCAAGGCGUGGACGGGAUCGACAUGGACAUCCCCAGCCAGACGGAGGCGCACGUCGUAAAGAACACCGUCAGCAAAUCCAUCUGGGUCGUGCUCCAGCUCUUCUUCUACGCGCUCAGGCCGCUCUUCCUGAAGCCGAAGCCUCCGGGCCUGUGGGAGUUCACCAACCUGAUGAUCCAGGUGGCGCUCGACGCGGCCAUGGUGUACCUCUACGGCUGGAAGUCGCUGGCCUACCUCAUCCUGUCGACGUUCCUCGGCGGUGGCAUGCACCCGAUGGCCGGCCACUUCAUCUCGGAGCACUACGUGUUCAGCCCGGAGCAGGAGACCUACUCGUACUACGGGCCGCUGAACCUGAUGACGUGGCACGUGGGGUACCACAACGAGCACCACGACUUCCCCAGGAUCCCCGGCGCCAAGCUGCACAAGGUGAAGGAGAUCGCGCCGGAGUACUAUGACAGUCUGAAAUCAUACAGGUCCUGGAGCCAGGUGAUAUACAUGUACGUCAUGGACCAGACGGUCGGCCCUUUCAGCCGGAUGAAGAGGAAGGCGCCCAAGAAAGAUUUGUAG
rnacentral:rRNA from 1 species